AUUGAACGCUGGCGGCAUGCCUUACACAUGCAAGUCGAACGGUAACAGGUCUUCGGAUGCUGACGAGUGGCGCACGGGUGAGUAAUACAUCGGAACGUGCCCGAUCGUGGGGGAUAACGAGGCGAAAGCUUUGCUAAUACCGCAUACGAUCUACGGAUGAAAGCGGGGGAUCUUCGGACCUCGCGCGGACGGAGCGGCCGAUGGCAGAUUAGGUAGUUGGUGGGAUAAAAGCUUACCAAGCCGACGAUCUGUAGCUGGUCUGAGAGGAUGAUCAGCCACACUGGGACUGAGACACGGCCCAGACUCCUACGGGAGGCAGCAGUGGGGAAUUUUGGACAAAGGGCGAAAGCCUGAUCCAGCCAUGCCGCGUGCAGGAUGAAGGCCUUCGGGUUGUAAACUGCUUUUGUACGGAACGAAAAGCCUCUUUCUAAUAAAGAGGGGUCAUGACGGUACCGUAAGAAUAAGCACCGGCUAACUACGUG
rnacentral:rRNA from 1 species